rnacentral:miRNA from 1 species
UCACCUGGGGAUCUUGCUCAAAUGCAGAUUCUGGUCCAGUAGAUCUAGGAUAGGGCUCAACAUUCUGCAUCUCUAACAAGUUCACAGGUGAUGUCAC